GCCGGGCGCGGUGGCUCACGCCUGUAAUCCCAGCACUUGGGAGGCUGAGGUGGGUGGAGCACCUGAGGUCAGGAGUUUGAGACCAGCCUGGCCAACAUGGUGAAACCCCAUCUCUA
rnacentral:SRP_RNA from 1 species